rnacentral:rRNA from 1 species
CUACGGGAGGCAGCAGUGGGGAAUUUUCCGCAAUGGGCGAAAGCCUGACGGAGCAAUACCGCGUGAGGGAAGACGGCCUAUGGGUUGUAAACCUCUUUUUUCAGGGAGGAAUAACUGACGUGUACCUGAAGAAUAAGCAUCGGCUAACUCCGUGCCAGCAGCCGCGGUAAGACGGAGGAUGCAAGUGUUAUCCGGAAUCACUGGGCGUAAAGCGUCUGUAGGUUGUUGAACAAGUCAACUGUUAAAUCUUGAGGCUCAACUCCAAAAUCGCAGUCGAAACUGUUUGACUAGAGUAUAGUGGGGGUAAAGGGAAUUUCCAGUGGAGCAGUGAAAUGCGUAGAUAUUGGAAGGAACACCGAUGGCGAAGGCACUUUACUGGGCUAUUACUGACACUCAGAGACGAAAGCUAGGGUAGCAAAUGGGAUUAGAUACCCCAGUAGUCCUAGCCGUAAACAAUGGAUACUAGAUGUUGAACAGAUCGACCUGUGCAGUAUCAAAGCUAACGCGUUAAGUAUCCCGCCUGGGAAGUAUGCUCGCAAGAGUGAAACUCAAAU